rnacentral:rRNA from 1 species
CAAGACCUGCGCUUUUGGAGCGGCCGAUGCCUGAUUAGCUUGUUGGUAAGGUAAAAGCUUACCAAGGCUUCGAUCAGUAGCUGGUCUGAGAGGACGGCCAGCCACACUGGGACUGAGACACGGCCCAGACUCCUACGGGAGGCAGCAGUGGGGAAUUUUGGACAAUGGGGGCAACCCUGAUCCAGCCAUGCCGCGUGGGUGAAGAAGGCCUUCGGGUUGUAAAGCUCUUUCAGCCGGAACGAAACGGUUACGGUUAAUACCCGUGAUUACUGACGGUACCGGAAGAAGAAGCACCGGCUAACUACGUGCCAGCAGCCGCGGUAAUACGUAGGGUGCGAGCGUUAAUCGGAAUUACUGGGCGUAAAGCGUGCGCAGGUGGUUUUGUAAGUCAGAUGUGAAAGCCCCGGGCUCAACCUGGGAACU